rnacentral:rRNA from 1 species
UGGGGAAUUUUGGACAAUGGGCGAAAGCCUGAUCCAGCAAUGCCGCGUGUGUGAAGAAGGCCUUCGGGUUGUAAAGCACUUUUGUCCGGAAAGAAAUCCUUGGCUCUAAUACAGUCGGGGGAUGACGGUACCGGAAGAAUAAGCACCGGCUAACUACGUGCCAGCAGCCGCGGUAAUACGUAGGGUGCAAGCGUUAAUCGGAAUUACUGGGCGUAAAGCGUGCGCAGGCGGUUUGCUAAGACCGAUGUGAAAUCCCCGGGCUCAACCUGGGAACUGCAUUGGUGACUGGCAGGCUAGAGUAUGGCAGGAGGGGGGUAGAAUUCCACGUGUGAGCAGUGAAAUGCGUAGGAGAUGGUGGAGGAAUACCGAUGGCGAAGGCAGCCCCCUGGGCCAAUACUGACGCUCAUGCAGCGAAAGCGUGGGGGAGCAAACAGGAUUCAGAUACCCUGGUAGUCCACGCCCUAAACGAUGUC